AAAAAGAUAAGUUAAAUAAACUAUUGGGUUCAUACCCCACUUAUAAAGGUCCUACCCCUUUUCUUUUUA
rnacentral:tRNA from 1 species